UAUUUUUCUAUAUACGAAUAUAUAUAUUUAUAUACAGCAGAAUAUAUAUAUAUAUAUAUAUGUGUGUGUGUGUGUGUGUAUAUAUAUAUAUAUAUAUAUGUA
rnacentral:pre_miRNA from 1 species